AUGGAAGGAGAAAACCCAAAUCAUUUGGCAUAGAAAAAAGCAUUUGCUUUUUCCUUAAAUUGCAGUUCAUUUUGCUCAAGACUGUAGAAGCAGAGACUUCAGGUUGCAGUAACUGACAUUUUCACCUAGUAAAUUUCCUUUUCUUACACUGUGGCCUGAACUUCACAAGCAGGGAGAAUUGCCUGUUGCUUGUUAGUGACCUUGUACGCUGUCUGACCCAACGUGGCAGACGAGCAUUGCCACCAGAGCCUGGCUGUCCUUCGGUGCUUCAGACCUGAGAGAAUUAGUAGUUGCAACAUCAGAUUUGUCAGCCCAGUCCACUGGACAGCAAAAUCGUACUUAUGAUGGGCCAUUGGCUGUGCCACAACCUUGCAAGUUGCUGAACCAGGCUGUGGCCUCCCUGCUACUGCUGUUACCCCGGUGGACAUCCUUUUGACCUACAGGGGUGAGGCUGUGAUGCGGUGCUCAGUUUUUACCUUCUUGAUCCACAUGGAGUGUGCGGCUAGUCAAGAGGGAAGUCAACUGCAUGGAUAACAGAUGAAAGUCUAUUGGUGUCGGGACUGUCACUGGUACUUGGAUGAGUUCUCUCUACCUUUUUUUGGGGUGUCUGUCUACAGUUUGUCAUGCACAGUGCUUCUUGAACCUUCAAUGUCCAAGUGAACAUUCGGAGUGCAGAAUAGCCAAACUGCUUCAUGAACAAGAAGGUCGUUGGAACAGGGCACUACAUCAAUUACUCAUGUAUCACGAUGAUGGAUACUGUGAAAACUGAGAGGAAAUGCAGGGAUUUUUUUUGUGGUGCAAUUUGGAAGCAUUUAAAAACUCUUCUCUGUGUACUUAUUGCUGGUUUGCUGUAUUCAAACAAUGCUUUUAAACACCAGUAUUCAGCCACACAUGGGGACUGUGAGCAUGAUUUUGUCCAUUGUGCUAUCUGCUUCCUUUUAGUGAAAUGAAACGAUGCCAUGUUUCACAUACUGUUCCUUCCCAUGACAGCAGCCACAGGGCUCAGGAAACUGCUCAGAGCAGCGUGGGCUGUCUCCAGCAAACACUCCCAUCUGGGGAGGCACUUGGGAAGCAGAGGGAGGCAGGUGUGCAGCUGCCAGCCCCCAAUCCCCGCGGGGAAAACUCUGCAUUCCCAGCAAAAGGAACCUCCUGGCAUGCUCUCCCAUCUCGGGGGUCUGCCUGGCCUUUUGCUGACAGCAUAAUUUUCUAAGGAGUCUCAGAGUCCGACAUCUCUGUUCACGACCCUUUUUUCCUAAGCAACAUUAAUAACUGCUGUGGGUCUGGCAGGUGCAACGUCCGCUAAUUGUGUCUGCAUCACCAGGCCUUAUCCUAACAGCCCUCCAACAUCUACAUUCCUACCUGGGCAACGAAGAAACCUCCAUUUAUCCUAGAAAGAGUGCACUGCUCACUCAUGAGCUCUUGGCCAACAGCUCCCCAUCAAGAAGAAACAUAUAGUUAGGAAAUUUGCCUAAGCCAUCACAGACCUGGAAAAACUCAUUGGCAUGUCUGAUGGAACUGAACAGCAUUUACCAGUUUGAAUUAUGGCUUACACUACAAGCACACCUGAAGUACCUUUCUAAGGUGAACAAAGAGACAUCUUCCUUGAACAGGUAGAAAUCGUUGCUAUCCACUUGUCUGACAGGGCCAUGCUCACCAAGGUGGUAGCAGACAGCAUGGUGGGAAUCCACAGUGACCAGACACUGAGCCAGGUGGAGGUAAGUCUGGGCUGAGGAGCUGCUGUGUGGGUGAGCUUCCCAGCCCUUGCAAGACAGCGAAGCGUGCCUAUUGUGACACUGCUUACUCAUCCCUGGUGCUGGU